rnacentral:rRNA from 1 species
UGGGGAAUUUUGGACAAUGGGCGAAAGCCUGAUCCAGCAAUGCCGCGUGUGUGAAGAAGGCCUUCGGGUUGUAAAGCACUUUUGUCCGGAAAGAAAUCCUUGGCUCUAAUACAGUCGGGGGAUGACGGUACCGGAAGAAUAAGCACCGGCUAACUACGUGCCAGCAGCCGCGGUAAUACGUAGGGUGCAAGCGUUAAUCGGAAUUACUGGGCGUAAAGCGUGCGCAGGCGGUUUGCUAAGACCGAUGUGAAAUCCCCGGGCUCAACCUGGGAACUGCAUUGGUGACUGGCAGGCUAGAGUAUGGCAGAGGGGGGUAGAAUUCCACGUGUAGCAGUGAAAUGCGUAGAGAUGUGGAGGAAUACCGAUGGCGAAGGCAGCCCCCUGGGCCAAUACUGACGCUCAUGCACGAAAGCGUGGGGAGCAAACAGGAUUAGAUACCCUGGUAGUCCACGUGUAAAACGAUGUCGAUUUUGGAGG